rnacentral:rRNA from 1 species
CAUUUCUUUUUGUUAUUAAUUUAAAGUAAAGCCUGCUCAAUGAUUUUUAAAUAGCUGCGGUAUUUUGACCGUACAAAGGUAGCAUAAUCAUUAGUUUUUUAAUUGAAAGCUAGAAUGAAUGGUUUAACGAGAAAUUAACUGUCUUUAAUUAAUUAUUAAAAUUUAAUUUUUAAGUUAAAAAGCUUAAAUUUUUCUAAAAGACGAGAAGACCCUAUAGAUCUUUAUAAAAUUUAAAUUUAUUAAAUUUUUUGAUUUAUUUUUUUAUAUUUUUAUUUUUAUUUUAUUGGGGUGAUAUAAAGAUUAAAUUAACUCUUUAUUUUUUAAUUAAUUAUUUUUAUUUUUUUGAUCCUUAUUUAUGAUUAAAAGAUUAAGUUACCUUAGGGAUAACAGCGUAAUUUUUUUAGAGAGUUCUUAUCGAUAAAAAAGAUUGCGACCUCGAUGUUGGAUUAAGAAAAAAUUUUGGUGCAAAAGUUAAAAUAUUAGGUCUGUUCGACCUUUGAAUUCUUACAUGAUCUGAGU